rnacentral:rRNA from 1 species
UGAAAGUGGGGGAUCGCAAGACCUCAUGCUCAUGGAGCGGCCGAUAUCUGAUUAGCUAGUUGGUGGGGUAAAGGCCUACCAAGGCAUCGAUCAGUAGCUGGUCUGAGAGGACGACCAGCCACACUGGAACUGAGACACGGUCCAGACUCCUACGGGAGGCAGCAGUGGGGAAUUUUGGACAAUGGGGGCAACCCUGAUCCAGCAAUGCCGCGUGAGUGAAGAAGGCCUUCGGGUUGUAAAGCUCUUUUGUCAGGGAAGAAACGGUGAGGGCUAAUAUCCUUUGCUAAUGACGGUACCUGAAGAAUAAGCACCGGCUAACUACGUGCCAGCAGCCGCGGUAAUACGUAGGGUGCAAGCGUUAAUCGGAAUUACUGGGCGUAAAGCGUGCGCAGGCGGUUAUGUAAGUCAGAUGUGAAAUCCCCGGGCUCAACCUGGGAAUGGCAUUUGAGACUGCAUGGCUAGAGUGUGUCAGAGGGGGGUAGAAUUCCACGUGUAGCAGUGAAAUGCGUAGAGAUGUGGAGGAAUACCGAUGGCGAAGGCAGCCCCCUGGGAUAACACUGACGCUCAUGCACGAAAGCGUGGGGAGCAAACAGGAUUAGAUACCCUGGUAGUCCACGCCCUAAACGAUAUAUAGUAGUUGUCGGGACUUAAUGUUCUUGGUAACGCAGAAAACGCGUGGAAGUAGACCGCCCGGGGAGUACGAGUCGCAAGAUUAAAAACUCAAAGGAAUAGACGGGGACCCGCCCAACCGGUGGAUGAUGUGGAUUAAUUAGAUGCAACGCGAAAAACCUUACCUACCCUCGACAUGUACGGAACCUCUGAGAGAAAAGAGGGUGGUCGAAAGAGAGCAGUAACACAGGUGCUGCAUGGCUGUCGUCAGCUAGUGUCGUGAGAUGUUGGGUUAAGUCCCGCAACGAGCGCAACCCUCGUCAUUAGUUGAUACGAAAGGGCACUCUAAUGAGACUGCCGGUGACAAACCGGAGGAAGGAGGGGAUGACGUCCAGUCCUCAUGGCCCUUAUGGGUAGGGCUUCACACGUCAUACAAUGGUACAUACAGAGGGCCGCCAACCCGCGAGGGGGAGCUAAUCCCAGAAAGAGUAUCGUAGUCCGGAUUGUAGUCUGCAACUCGACUACAUGAAGUUGGAAUCGUUAGUAAUCGCGGAUCAGCAUGUCGC